UUUCGCAUGUGGCCACCUGCACUUAUGCCUGAAAAAGUCAUCACCAUUCAAAGAUAAGGAUGCGAAGUUCGGCAUAGGAGCGGAGAUACAUUGAUGAAGCCUCUCCAAGCCAGCAAAAUAACCAGGUUUGAUUAGUGUAAUAUUCAAUGGAGAAGGAUUCUUUGCUGUCUUGGGAAAUGAGAAUUGAGACGCUGGUGGAGAAAGAUAUACUAAAAUGGAGAUUAAGAUUGGCAAAUGAAUUCAUUGAUCGUCUAACGAUUGAUCUUAAGUAAUUCUUAGCUAUUGUGAUCUACUCUCUCAUUAGACAGGAUGUCAUGUUGGUUAUUCUGAGAAAGAAAACGGUGUGAUUCGACUAUGGAUAGCAGAAGGAUUCACGUUUUCUUAUAAGAAAAAACGAAGAGAAGAUUUAAGCAAAUAAAUGCAUGAUCUCCUUCAUGAUGCAACUCCAUGACAUCUUACUGAUUUUAUUCAAAGAUCUUAUAUGAAAAGAUCCACAGCCUGUAAGAACAUCAUAUGAAAAAGAUCCGCAGUUUAUUGAAGCUAAUAUAGUUCCUA